UACGUAGGUGGCAAGCGUUGUUCGGAAUUAUUGGGCGUAAAGGGCGCGUAGGCGGUUUGUUAAGUCGGCUGUGAAAGCCCGGGGCUCAACCCCGGAGGGUCAGCCGAUACUGGCAGACUGGAGUACGGAAGAGGUAGCUGGAAUUCCCGGUGUAGCGGUGAAAUGCGUAGAUAGUCGGGAGGAACACCUGAGGCGAAGGCGGGCUACUGGGCCGAUACUGACGCUGAUGCGCGAAAGCCAGGGGAGCGGAACGGGAUUAAGAUGACCCGAGUAGUCC
rnacentral:rRNA from 1 species